rnacentral:rRNA from 1 species
GAUGAACGCUGGCGGCGUGCCUAAUACAUGCAAGUCGAGCGAACGGACGUGAAUCUUGCUUCUCUGAUGUUAGCGGCGGACGGGUGAGUAACACGUGGAUAACCUCCCUAUCAGACUGGGAUAACUUCUAGACACCGGAGCCAAUACCGGAUAAUAUUUUGCACCGCAUGGUUCAAACGUGAAAGACGGUCUUGCUGUCACUUAUAUAUGGAUCCGCGCUGCAUUAGCUAGUGGGUAAGGUAACGGCUUACCACGGCAACGAUGCAUAGCCGACCUGCGAGAGGGAUAGGAGCCGGUGGAAGUGGGACACGGUCCAGACUCCGACGGGAGGCAGGAGUAGGGAAUCAUCCGAAGUAGGAGAGAGCAUGACUGAGCAACGCGGGGAGAGUGAUGAAGGUAUUCGGGUCGGAAGACACUGUUAUUAGGGAAGAACAUAUGUGUAAGUAGCAGUGCAAAUAUUGACGGUACCUGAGCAGAAAGCCACGGCUAACUACGUG